rnacentral:rRNA from 1 species
GAUGAACGCUGGCGGCGCGCCUAACACAUGCAAGUCGAACGAUUAAAGCACCUUCGGGUGUGUAUAAAGUGGCGAACGGCUGAGUAACACGUGGGCAACCUGCCCCUUUCAUUGGGAUAGCCACGGGAAACCGUGGAUAAUACCGAAUACUUCGAGACUUCCGCAUGGAAGACUCGAGAAAGCUCCGGCGGAGAGGGAUGGGCCCGCGGCCUGUUAGCUUGUUGGUGGGGUAACGGCCUACCAAGGCAAUGAUGGGUAGCUGGGUUGAGAGACCGACCAGCCAGAUUGGGACUGGGACACGGCCCAGACUCCUACGGGAGGCAGCAGCGGGGAAUCUUGCACAAUGGGCGAAAGCCUGAUGCAGCGACGCCGCGUGCGGGAUGAAGGCCUUCGGGUUGUAAACCGCUUUCAGCAGGGACGAGGCGAAAGUGACGGUACCUGCAGAAGAAGCCCCGGCUAACUACGUG